AAUUGUCUGCACCGACAGGAUGUGCGUCUUUUCACAUGGCGCACGGCGCCACUACCAUCCAUCGUUUAUACGCCAUCAGCGUGGGCCAAACAGGGGACGAGCCGCUGGCCGAGGAUAGCCGUCGCUUUUCGCAACUUUGUGAUAGCCUUAGUACUGAGCUAGGCUUGAUAAUUUUUGACGAGUUUUCAAUGAUUCAGCGUCGCAUGAUGCGUUGGGUAAUGCAGCGUCUCGGUCAGGCAGGUGUUAACAUGGAUCACAUAGGUGUCCUGUUUGUCGGUGAUCCAGCGCAAAUUUUUCCAAUCGGGGAUGUUCCUAUUUGGAGCUUGCGUCAGCGCUCGGAUGACGGUAAUGCAUGCUGUGAGGCGUCUAUUUUGGGUAUGGCAGCUUUCCGUGAAUUAUUCAGAAUGCCGGCGCUGGACACUUUGCCAGGGUAUGAAACGUGGAGAAAAACGCUAGGUGUAAACCGCGCUGAUCUUAGUGACCGCGUUCGUGCGGAAGUAUCUCGUUUUCGCGCCGCCGCGUACGACGGCGACUAUGAAACUGUUUAUUUAAAUGAGGUGCGUCGUACUGUUGAAAAUGACGAGGUAGCCGCAAAAUUUACUAAGGAGAUUCUUCCGUCUAUGAGAUACGGUAAGGCCACCCCGGAUAAAAUUCAGUGGCUCAAGGAAAACUGUGCCACAACUGAGGACAUGUCUGCCGAUCCUGCGUGGAAAUGUGCUAUAACGUUACAUGGGUAUCACUGGUUUAGUGAGUGGGCUGCAAACCGUUCAACAGUAGAAUCUGAUAAUGCUCGUGCUCUGGUUAAUUUUGCUGCAGAUAGGAGCGCUCACGUCAUGGCCGUAAAUUCACAGCACAUGCCAGCCAGGAAGGCUCAGAAAUUACAAAAAUUAUCGGCAAAAGAGUUUCGCGCGGUGCCUUCGGUUCUCUUUGCGUGUAGGGGUCUGCCGCUGAUGCUGCUAGAAAAUGUAGCACCCAGCUUCGGGCUAUUUAACGGGUCUCAGGUAGAGUUUGUGGGUCCCCUAUAUCUAGAAGAUGAUUUGCUCGUGACUAUUAGCCGUCGCGACUUUGCGGAAAAAGUACGUGUUGAAGGUGUGACACUUGUGGAGCCUAUCGACACGCCCCACUCAGAUAGGGAAAACGUUUAUCAGGUGCCGGUGGGAAGCGUCAUCGUUAAAGUAAAUGGCAAUGAUUUAGAGGGCAACUGUCUGGAUGAACUAGUGGCCACCGCGGACCCUGUUAAGCUAGUUUUGCGCACACCAAAGUGUGCGCCUCAUUUGCCCGAGUUUAUUGUCGUUCGUGUUCCUGGCUAUACCGCCAACGGUGGUCAAAACGUUCUAGGCAUAGAAGACGCAGAUGAUCUUGUUCCCAUCCGUGCAGUGAAACGCGGCCGUGCAUCUCGCAAAAAGGGCAGCGCUGUUUCUGAAGAUAACUGUUCUGAAUUUCGCGUAGGUUUUCCGCUCGAGGGGGGCAGCGCGUUUACCGGCUUUAAAGGCCAGGGUGCCACUUUGUCUCGGGUAGAAGUUAAAGUAAAGGAAUGGGUGGGCAAUCCGGGCUUUUGGACUGUCGUAGUUUCGCGCGUUAAACAUCCAAAGCACAUGUACAUUCCUGAGACAGAAUGGCCUACCGCGCAGGAAAUAAAUGUUCAGCGCCUUAAUGAUGACGUCAUUGAAGCAGAAAUUUUUGAGCGCCAAAUGCGCAUUAAUGCCGCCAAAACGUGGCGUCUUUACGUAGAGAUAGAGGGCGGAGCUGAAUGGUCACGGGAGCAAAAUUUGAUUGCAGAUUACGUACACAGGGCGUGGAGACAGCAUCAUGUUCAGGACGUAGGUGAAAUUGUUUUGCAAUGUCUCGCUGCAUCCGGCAGACAUGUAGAAAUGGUGGAAGUCGUAGCGGUUAUAAACAAAAUGUUAGCUACAGAAGAAAGCCUGAUACUCGCCAGGCCCAUCUAUUUGACUCAGUCCAAACACAGACAGCUAGAGAUGAGCGUUCCCAAGCGUAAGCGGUCUUCAACCGGGGCUAAAAGGCCAGCGUCCACUUCAGUUAGUCGCGGACGACCCGCCAAGCGGGGUCGCAAAACUGGUAGGCCUGCACAGUAAUGCUAUCUUUUCAUCGGAUAGAAUACGACCGACACUAUGUCACGCGCGUGUCAAUGGGCUCCACAAGGUGGUUACGUUACGUGUUCGGAAGCAGAAUAUCACACAGUUAGGUCGGUGUUGAAUUCGGGGUCUGGGAGGCCUAGGCCAACCGGUAUUUCUUUCUUUCUGCCCUUAGCCCUUUCUACCGUAGGAGCUUCCGGAGUUUCUUUCCUUAACACACCCAUCAGCAGUGCACAACUGCACAUUUUUACGCUGGUCCGGUGCCAUUAAUAACGCUCAUGGUGUUUGCACCAGCUGGUCAAUACGCGUCGCUGGUAGGAAGCUGUCAAAAAAGUGGUACUAGGUCGCUAGGCGUUCAUUCUAUUAUACCUAGGUAGGAGGAUGUAAAGAGCCUGAAAAUAAGUACAUAGGUGAAAAAUCUCGAGGCUGCACUGUCCCCGCUCAUUGUUCUUCUCCCAUAGCAGUCUCCAAGGUAUGAACUUACGGAACCUUGCCCAGGCGUGGGAUGAAUAUUAGAUCUUUGAAUCGUCACGGCUAGUCACAGCUCCCCGGUUCGCCGGGGAUGGCGGGCGAGGCCCUUAGGUAAAUUAGGUUAGAUCGAAUGAAGUAGGUAGACGGAUAGUGGGAAGGUGACGUAAGUUCUGCCUGGAGACUGCUAUCCCUCACCCCGUCGCCGUAAUUAAAUGAGGGGUUUACUGAACCUUAGGUAGGCUAAAAACGAAACGACAUUAAGCAAUCUAUUCCAAUUCCAACACUCAGAGAUUGCAUUUGUGCUUGCGUGUCAUUUU